rnacentral:rRNA from 1 species
GACGAACGCUGGCGGCGUGCUUAACACAUGCAAGUCGAACGGGAAGGCCUCUUUCGGGGGGUACUCGAGUGGCGAACGGGUGAGUAACACGUGAGUAACCUGCCCUUGACUUUGGGAUAACUUCAGGAAACUGGGGCUAAUACCGGAUAGGAGCUCCUGCUGCAUGGUGGGGGUUGGAAAGUUUCGGCGGUUGGGGAUGGACUCGCGGGUUAUCAGCUUGUUGGUGGGGUAGUGGCUUACCAAGGCUUUGACGGGUAGCCGGCCUGAGAGGGUGACCGGCCACAUUGGGACUGAGAUACGGCCCAGACUCCUACGGGAGGCAGCAGUGGGGAAGAUUGCACAAUGGGUGGAAGCCUGAUGCAGCAACGCCGUGUGCGGGAUGACGGCCUUCGGGUUGUAAACCGCUUUCGCUCAUGACGAAGCUUUGUGUGACGGUAGUGGGUAAAGAAGCACCGGCUAACUACGUG